UCCGGUUGAUCCUGCCGGACCUGACUGCUAUCGGAUUGAUACUAAGCCAUGCGAGUCUUUGUAGUAAUACAAGGCAUACGGCUCAGUAACGCGUAGUCAACCUACCCUAUGGACAAGAAUAAUCUCGGGAAACUGAGCAUAAUUCUUGAUAGAUCAUAAUGCCCGGAAUGGUUUAUGGCUCAAAUGAUUUAUCGCCGUAGGAUGGGACUGCGAGCUAUCAGCUUGUUGGUGAGGUAAUGGCCCACCAAGGCUAUUACAGCUACGGGCUCUGAGAGGAGUAGCCCGGAGAUGGGUACUGAGACAAGGACCCAGGCCCUAUGGGGCGCAGCAGGCGAGAAAACUUUGCAAUGUGCGAAAGCACGACAAGGUUAAUCCGAGUGAUUUCUGCUAAAGAAAUCUUUUGCAAGUCAUAAAACCACUAGUGAAUAAGGGGUGGGCAAGUUCUGGUGUCAGCCGCCGCGGUAAAACCAGCACCUCAAGUGGUCAGGAGGAUUAUUGGGCCUAAAGCAUCCGUAGCCGGCUCUGUAAGUUUUCGGUUAAAUCCAUGUGCUCAACGCAUGGGCUGCCGAAAAUACUGCAUAGCUAGGGAGUGGGAGAGGUAGACGGUACUCGGUAGGAAGGGGUAAAAUCCUUUGAUCUAUCGAUGACCACCUGUGGCGAAGGCGGUCUACCAGAACAUGUUCGACGGUGAGGGAUGAAAGCUGGGGGAGCAAACCGGAUUAGAUACCCGGGUAGUCCCAGCUGUAAACUAUGCAAACUCAGUGAUGCAUUGGCUUGUGGCCAAUGCAGUGCUGCAGGGAAGCCGUUAAGUCUGCCGCCUGGGAAGUACGUACGCAAGUAUGAAACUUAAAGGAAUUGGCGGGGGAGCACCACAAGGGGUGCGGCGUGCGGUUUAAUCUAACUUCACGCAGAGAAUCUCACCAGCAGCGACGGCAGAAUGAAGGUCAGUCUGAAGGGCUUACCUGACGAGCCGAGAGGUAGUGCAUGGCCGUCGUCAGCUCGUGCCGUAAGGUGUCCUCUUAAGUGAGGUAACGAGCGAGACCCAUACCUUUAAUUGCUAGCAGGCUCUUUAGAGCGACUGAGCACAUUAGAGGGACUGCCCUGGAAACAGGGAGGAAGGUGUGGGCAACGGUAGGUCUGUAUGCUCCGAAUCUGCUGGGCUACACGCGCGCAACAAUGGCGAGGACAAUGGGCUGCGACACUGAAAAGUGGAGCCAAACCUCCAAACCUCGUCUUAGUUUGGAUUGAGGGCUGUAAUUCGCCCUCAUGACAAUGGAAUCCCUAGUAAUCGGGUUUCAUCACGACCCGGUGAAUAUGUCCCUGCUCUUUGCACACACCGC
rnacentral:rRNA from 1 species